GCCAAGUGGUCCGGGAGCCGCGCGUUGGGGCGUAGGGGACCGUGGCUUGGAGCCCGGGAGGGCUGCGAGCCUACUCAAGCUGCUUUUCUUCUUCCAUCACCUUCUCCUUUCGCUGUGCACGGGCCACGCAGUGGAACUGCAGCGGUGAAAACGACUGAAUUUGGGGCCCUGUAACCUCCUGGCAACCCUGAGGAGCGGCAGCGGAAACACAAGUAAGAAUGGAGGGUGCUCUUCUCCCCAGAAGCUAACAAAGGGUCAGUCUUUCUCUGUGAAAUGGCUGUAGAAUAUAAACGGAGGCUCCUGGCAUUUCCCUACUGGCUCAGUUCAAGAACCACCCACUCCGAGUUGUCUUCCUGGAUUUUCUCAGCCCAAAGUAAUCCUUCUUUUUCUGAGGUACAAAAGAGGUUCAACAGUGAGUAUUGUAGAUGCUGAGCUUCAUCUGUGAACAAAACCUACCAAGUCUCUGACCACAUGGAAUUCAUGAGGUGGACGCAGGAUCCCUGAAGACUUCCUUAUGGAUUUUGUCUCUGGGAACACGAUCAAACCUACAGCCCCUGCAGUGGAAGCGAAGUCUUAACCUCUGGAUCACCAGGGAAGUCCCUGUGCUGAGUCAAGACUGCUCUCUACCAAGAUCUCCAGAGCCUCACAUCGGUCAGUGCCCCCAAAGAGGCAGAGUCCGGCUUCAGGCCUCUAGCCUUCUCUCUUUUGGGGAAGAAAAUACCUCUACUCUGAAGGCAGCCAGCACAUAUUUUACUCACAACAGUCAGCAGAUGGCUGUGGAUCCCAGGAAUCACAUCAGGACAAAGCUCGCUGUGCAUUUUCCAUCACUGGUAGCUAUCCCAACAGUGACGUGGGGCAUCGUUAUUAAUAGGUGAAGGACAAAGAGAGAGGGGAAGUGGCUUGGGUUGAGUCACACAGCAAAGUUAGAACUCCCAACUCCCAGCAACUGGCCUCACCCUGGGCUCUAUCCCGCACACCUGGCAGCUCCAGAGACUUUCUCCUUUUCGUACUCUGGGCCAUGAACUCUCUGGUUAACCAAGAGGGUCCAACUUGUCUUGCAGAGAAAUGAAGCAAAAUCUUCCUUGGGACGGUAUAUUGUGGUCUUCCUGUUUCUAUUGAUUGGCAGGAAACUGAGUGCCCCCUACUUACUGAAUGACCUUGAACACAUCAUUGAAAGUCCCUGGACCCUCAGGUUUCCCUUCAGUAAAGUGUAGAAAAGAGUUAUUGGUGCCUACCCCAGAGAAGCUGUGGAUGAGCUAGGGAGAGGAUCGGUGUACCCUUAUCCAAUUUAUUCUGCAUUAUCCUUUACGCGGGUGAACUUCCCGGCUGAGCAUAAUCACAUGGGUGGGCUUUAAAAAUACAAAUUCCUGGGCGUUGACCAACCUGGCUUACUUGGAUGUCUUCUCUGUUCUCCUGGCCAAGUGGCCCCCAGUAUGAAGGGAACCCCCUCGAGUUGAGCAGUGGGGUGGUCUUUAACCUUUCUGUUUAAAUCCUCUCGACUCAGCUUAAACGAACCUUUGCUAGGACAUGGGAGACAUUGCGUUCUGUUUCAAGCUCCCCCUUGGACUCCCUGUUCUCCCAAUUUUGGCACUUCUCACAUACUGCUUGUUAUUUUUACUUAACUGUUUCAAAUCUUUGCCUCUUAUUUCCUCAAUUAGCUAUCAGAGGAUAAAAACAGUGUCCUGCCCUUCUCUUUUGACCCCCCAAAAUGCCAGCUCCAUUAGCACUUAGUACCUCUUCAAUAAAUAUUUGUUGAAUGGCAGAUCUUGUAAUUCGGAAAUCUGAAAUCAUUUCUUAUUUAUUUGGGAGGGGUUCUGUGUCCUUUGGAAGCUUUCUGGUCACAUGGAAAGAACUUUAAACAAAGAGGCAAGAGCCCUAGCUUCCAAUCUUGGCACUGUCACAAACUCCCAUUGUGACCUGCAACAAGUCGCCUGCCUUCUCUAGCCCUCGGUCCCUCACUUGAGAAACCAGGACUGAUAUAUAAGUUUCUUUCAGCUCUGGAUUUUUUUCACUACUGUGGUUAGCCA
ensembl:lncRNA